rnacentral:misc_RNA from 1 species
CAAGCUAAAAAGUAGUUUUCACAACCAAAGAAAUCCCAUAGCCAAGAGAAGUGUCAUCAAAUUAGAUCCAUGUAAAUAUUAAUCUAGGAUGCUAUAAAAAUCAUAUUUUGUAAUCUAUUUCCACAGUAAAAAUAAAAAAUAAAAAUGAAAGAUAACAGUUACUUGCAUAAAGCAUCCUUUCCCGCUUGAGGGCCGGCCUCUAUGAUCAGUAAAUAUGUGAACAUCGGGAAGCAAACGAUUAAAGAUUCCAGUAUUUCUCCUAUUGCGAUCUCAAAGUUGGUAUUUUUUUUCACAAUUAGCAGAGGUUUUCUUCCUUGUGUUGUUGAGACGGACUCUUUUCAGUUGUGCCAAUUGCUUUCUUCUCCUGUCCUUAGGUUCCAUUACUUAGAAACUGAAGGCUGUCAUUCAGAACAUUAAGAGUUAUCUGUCUGAUUAUAUUUUGAUCAUUGUUAAAUUUUUUUUUCCUAGGUCAGCUAGUUGUUGUGCCAAUUGGAUUGCUAUUAGUGAAUCCUGGCUCUGCUUACAACAUGAAAAUCACAAGUAAAAACAUUGUCAUUUAAGUAAAUAUUAUAUUCAUAUAUGUUAAAUUAUAUUAUAGACCAAUUAUAAACUAGGGUGGCCUAAUUUGAUCUAAACUAACUAGUUUUAAUUGGGUAAUAUGUAUUUUUUUACCUAACAGGGUCAUGUAGCCCUGGUGAUUAAGUUAGUGACUAAUU